GACGAACGCUGGCGGCGUGCCUAAUACAUGCAAGUCGAACGCAGGGGGGACGGGUGAGUAACACGUGGGUAACCUCCCAUCAGAGGGGAUAACACUUGGAAACAGGUGCUAAACCGAUCUUGAUGGAUGGACCCGCUGUGCAUUAGCUAGUUGGUGAGGUAACGGCUCACCAAGGCCACGAUGCAUAGCCGGCCUGAGAGGGUGAUCGGCCACACUGGGACUGAGACACGGCCCAGACUCCUACGGGAGGCAGCAGUGGGGAAUCUUCGGCAAUGGAGGAAAGUCUGACCGAGCAAUGCCGCGUGAGUGAAGAAGGUUUUCGGAUCGUAAAACUCUUUUGGUAGAGAAGCGGUAUCUGACCAGAAAGCCACGGCUAACUACGUGCCAGCAGCCGCGGUAAUUC
rnacentral:rRNA from 1 species